rnacentral:piRNA from 1 species
UAGGCAAGUUGAAAAGGAUUGCACUGUGU